CAGGGAGUAGUUUAAAAAAAACGCUAGCUUUGGGAGCUAAUGAUAAGGAGGACUCCUUCUCUCUGA
rnacentral:tRNA from 1 species